rnacentral:lncRNA from 1 species
ACAAACACUGAGUGGGCUCUUGCUGCUGCCUCUGUAGAAGACGGGGGUAUAGGAUCUAGCUGUUGCACAGUACAAUCUUCCAACUGAAAGCUUGAAGAAACCCAAAGCUUUUCAAAGGCAGUCCUUACAUAUCACCCGGGGCUCUGCAGUUUGACAGGCUGGAACCUACUGCAGCACUGGGAAGGCCUUGCAGAGGGAGCACUGUGCCAGGAGCAUGGCUGGGACGCUGCUCUGUCAUUCCAAGUGGACUGGGAGUGGCAGGGAAGAGGAGGACAGAGUGAAAGACUUGCACACGUAGAGAAAGCCCCCACUGACUGAAGGUUUGAUUGCAUGGGCAGCAGUCAGGUUUUUGACUAAAUUCUCUCCAGGGGAAUGGCUGUCAGGCUGGAAGAUUGGUGUCAAAUAAGCAAGGAAAGCCCAUUGAGAACGAAAUGAUAAUGAGGAACCAUCUGUCUUUCUGGUGGAAAGGGAUUUACCCUUGAAAGUACAGACGAGCUUCACAGGAGGGGACACAGAAUACUGCGCAACUAAAGCAAAUGAAGUCCCAGGCGAGCGGUAAAACAGGAGGAAAAGCAGCGUCGGGGCCGUGAAGCCGUGAGGACACCAGGCUUCGAAGAACGGUUUACAUUCCCCCAAAACAAGCCAGAUAGGCAACGCCCGCGUGGAGGGGGGAGGAGGAGGAGGAGCAGGUGGGGACCUGGGGUGUUCCUGGCUAUGUUUUGCGGUCUAGUGACCUUCCUCCUCCUCUAUUACUCUUCCGCAUUUCAAUUCCCUUUAAAAGAACACUAAACACUUUUAGACAC